AGAAUCAACGCUGGCGGCGUGCCUCAGACAUGCAAGUCGAACGCGAAAGUUUCCUUCGGGAGGCGAGUAGAGUGGCGCACGGGUGAGUAACACGUAGGUAAUCUACCUUUGGAUGGGGAAUAACAAUCGGAAACGGUUGCUAAUACCGCAUAAUGCAGCGGCACCUAAUGGUGACAGUUGUUAAAGCGGGGGAUCGAAAGACCUCGCGUCUGAAGAGGAGCCUGCGGCGAUUAGCUAGUUGGUAAGGUAAUGGCUUACC
rnacentral:rRNA from 1 species